AGGGGAGUGAAAAAGAACCUGAAACCGUGUACGUACAAGCAGUGGGAGCCCCACCACUAAGCCAGUGGUGAACUCCACAUACGCAUCCUUUGCUGAGGAUACGGUUAACGGAGCGAAAGCGACGUUCAACCUCAAAAGAAGCAGAGGGGGCUUAGUGGUGGGGUGACUGCGUACCUUUUGUAUAAUGGGUCAGCGACUUAUAUUCUGUAGCAAGGUUAACCGAAUAGGGGAGCCGGAGGGAAACCGAGUCUUAAUUGGGCGUUAAGUUGCAGGGUAUAGACCCGAAACCCGGUGAUCUAGCCAUGGGCAGGUUGAAGGUUGGGUAACACUAACUGGAGGACCGAACCGACUAAUGUUGAAAAAUUAGCGGAUGACCUGUGGCUGGGGGUGAAAGGCCAAUCAAACCGGGAGAUAGCUGGUUCUCCCCGAAAGCUAUUUAGGUAGCGCCUCGUGAAUUCAUCUCCGGGGGUAGAGCACUGUUUCGGCUAGGGGGUCAUCCCGACUUACCAACCCGAUGCAAACUGCGAAUACCGGAGAAUGUUAUCACGGGAGACACACGGCGGGUGCUAACGUCCGUCGUGAAGAGGGAAACAACCCAGACCGCCAGCUAAGGUCCCAAAGUCAUGGUUAAGUGGGAAACGAUGUGGGAAGGCCCAGACAGCCAGGAUGUUGGCUUAGAAGCAGCCAUCAUUUAAAGAAAGCGUAAUAGCUCACUGGUCGAGUCGGCCUGCGCGGAAGAUGUAACGGGGCUAAACCAUGCACCGAAGCUGCGGCAGCGAACGUAUCACCCAAGACAACUUUGCGGAGUUGACGAUUGACGGAGCGAAGCGACGUCAAAGCGUUCAUUAAAGUCGAGUUGGCUUAGGGAUACGUUCGUUGGGUAGGGGAGCGUUCUGUAAGCCUGUGAAGGUGUGUCGUGAGGCAUGCUGGAGGUAUCAGAAGUGCGAAUGCUGACAUAAGUAACGAUAAAGCGGGUGAAAAGCCCGCUCGCCGGAAGACCAAGGGUUCCUGUCCAACGUUAAUCGGGGCAGGGUGAGUCGACCCCUAAGGCGAGGCCGAAAGGCGUAGUCGAUGGGAAACGGGUUAAUAUUCCCGUACUUGGUGUUACUGCGAAGGGGGGACGGAGAAGGCUAUGUUGGCCGGGCGACGGUUGUCCCGGUUUAAGCGUGUAGGCUGGUUUUCCAGGCAAAUCCGGAAAAUCAAG
rnacentral:rRNA from 1 species